AUUCACUCUCGUCUUCAGCCAUACUGUGGCUGGUCUAGGAUGCCUGCCUGGUAGAGUAAUCCAGACCAUCAUUGAGAAGGCCAAGGCUUUGGUUACCAAUUCUUGUUGCUGCAAUCACUCAUUUAUGAUUAUCAGCAGGAUGCUUACGGAACACAUUAGGAUGGAGCCUCUGUGGAUCUGGAUCUGGUCCCUGAGUGACUCCACAUGUGCUGAGCCACACUGGACCUGGAGCACGAAGGAGAAACACACUUUUGCUGAUUUAAGCCACUGAGAUUCUGGGAUCAUUACCUCAACAUUACCUGGACUAUCCUGAUUGGUCCUAGGGCCUUGCCACAUCUGGGAUACAAAUGUAAAAUUUAAAGAAAUAAUCCCAGUCAAAUCGAGGUGAAUGAAAGAGGGCUUCUUAGAAUAAAUGUUUUAGUGAAAUCCUUAAAAAAAAAAGACUAAGAAUAAGAGAUGGCAUUACUAAUGGAAGAACUACUAUUUCAUAUGGCUAGCUUAAUUUGAAAUAUGGCUAAGAAUCAGGUGGUCAAUAAUAACAACACGAUGUUUUUAGACAAUAUUAAAAUGCAAAUUUCUCAUAUACUAUAAUGCUUGAAAUGGCUUUAGAGGAAAUCAAGUCCUUACCUGUAUUUCUAUGAGGCUUAUAUAUUACAUGAAGACAGAAAUAAAAAGCCCUAACACUCAG
rnacentral:lncRNA from 10 species